rnacentral:lncRNA from 1 species
AACGUGAAUCUUUUCUUCUCUUUUGCACUGGUGCAAAUGUGAAUUUUCCACGAAGACAUCUGGGGAUUAUUUCACUUUUUCUUCCUGCUGCUCUGCUCCUCUACAUCAGGCCCCUUGCAGCUUAAUGAAUUGACGGAAGACAAAAACCGACACUAGGUCUUU